rnacentral:rRNA from 1 species
GUCUAUGUCCAUACAACCCUGAACGCGCCCGAUCUCAUCUGUUCUUGGAAAUGAAGCAGGGUCCGACCUAAUUAGUACUUGCAUGGGAGACUGCCUGGGAAUACCAGGUGCUGUAGGUU